GUUAAUGAGAGACUGCUGAAGAUAUACAAAACUAUUCUGGGAAUACUCGGACAACCAACGUGGUCAAAUAUUGAGUGGAUAAGAAGCCUACUACGUCACAUUGAAUCCG